AAUGAACGCUGGCGGCGUGCCUAAUACAUGCAAGUCGAGCGAAGCGGGGACGGGUGAGUAACACGUGGAUAACCACCUAUAAGACUGGGAUAACUUCAGGUAACCGGAGCUAAACCGGAUCCUUAUAGAUGGAUCUGGGGUGCAUUAGCUAGUUGGUAAGGUAACGGCUUACCAAGGCAACGAUUCCUAGCCGACCUGAGAGGGUGAUCAGCCACACUGGAACUGAGACACGGUCCAGACUCCUACGGGAGGCAGCAGGAGGGAAUCUUGCGCAAUGGGGGAAAGCCUGACGUAGCAACGCCGCGUGUGUGAUGAAGGUCUUCGGCUCGUAAAGCUCUGUUAGUGGGGAAGCGUUACCUACACAAAAAGCCACGGCUAACUACGUGCCAGCAGCCGCGGUAAUUC
rnacentral:rRNA from 1 species